rnacentral:sRNA from 1 species
GCUUGGCACGGUGGUGCAUGCCUGUAAUCCCAGUGACUCGGGAGGCUGAGGCAGGAGGACCACGAGUUCCAGGCCAGCCUGGGUAACUUAGUGAGACCCUGUCUCCA